rnacentral:rRNA from 1 species
AUUGAACGCUGGCGGCAGGCCUAACACAUGCAAGUCGAGCGGAUGAAGGGAGCUUGCUCCUGGAUUCAGCGGCGGACGGGUGAGUAAUGCCUAGGAAUCUGCCUGGUAGUGGGGGAUAACGUCCGGAAACGGGCGCUAAUACCGCAUACGUCCUGAGGGAGAAAGUGGGGGAGCUUCGGACCUCACGCUAUCAGAUGAGCCUAGGUCGGGUUAGCUAGUUGGUGGGGUAAAGGCCUACCAAGGCGACGAUCCGUUACUGGUCUGAGAGGAUGAUCCGUCCCACUGGAACUGAGCCACGGUCCAGGCUCCUACGGGCGGCCGCGGUGGCGAAUAUUGGACGCUGGGCGGAAGCCUGCUCCAGCCAUGCCGCGUGUGUGAAGAAGGUCUUCGGAUUGUAAAGCACUUUAAGUUGUGAGGAAGGGCAGUAAGUUAAUACCUUGCUGUUUUGACGUUACCAACAGAAUAAGCACCGGCUAACUUCGUG